rnacentral:rRNA from 1 species
CCUACGGGUGGCAGCAGUGAGGAAUAUUGGUCAAUGGGCGGGAGCCUGAACCAGCCAAGUCGCGUGGGGGAUGACGGUCCUACGGAUUGUAAACCUCUUUUGCCGGGGAGCAAGCGUGCGUUCGUGAACGCGCGUCGAGAGUACCCGGAGAAAAAGCAUCGGCUAACUCCGUGCCAGCAGCCGCGGUAAUACGGAGGAUGCGAGCGUUAUCCGGAUUUAUUGGGUUUAAAGGGUGCGCAGGCGGAGGUGCAAGUCAGCGGUCAAAUUGCGGGGCUCAACCCCGUACUGCCGUUGAAACUGCAUCCCUUGAGUGCGCGAGAAGUAUGCGGAAUGCGUGGUGUAGCGGUGAAAUGCAUAGAUAUCACGCAGAACUCCGAUUGCGAAGGCAGCAUACCGGCGCGCAACUGACGCUCAUGCACGAAAGCGUGGGUAUCGAACAGGAUUAGAUACCCUAGUAGUC